UACAGAGGUGGCAAGCGUUGUUCGGAAUUACUGGGCGUAAAGGGCGCGUAGGCGGCCUUCUAAGUCAGACGUGAAAUCCCCCGGCUUAACCUGGGAACUGCGUCUGAUACUGGGAGGCUAGAGUGCGGGAGAGGGAUGCGGAAUUCCAGGUGUAGCGGUGAAAUGCGUAGAUAUCUGGAGGAAUACCGGUGGCGAAGGCGGCAUCCUGGACCGACAUUGACGCUGAUGAGCGAAAGCUAGGGGAGCAAACGGG
rnacentral:rRNA from 1 species